GGAUUAGAUACCCUGGUAGUCCACGCCGUAAACGAUGAGUGCUAGCCGUUUGUAAUUAAUUACAAGUGGUGCAGUUAACACAUUAAGCACUCCGCCUGGGGAGUACGAUCGCAAGAUUAAAACUCAAAGGAAUUGACGGGGGCCCGCACAAGCGGUGGAGCAUGUGGUUUAAUUCGACGCAACGCGAAGAACCUUACCAGGUCUUGACUUCCUGACUAUGGUUGUUAGAAAUAACUUCCUUCAGUUCGGCUGGGUCAGUGACAGGUGCUGCAUGGCUGUCGUCAGCUCGUGCCG
rnacentral:rRNA from 1 species